CCUUCUUAAAAGCAGAGGAGGGAAGCAGAAGAGAACCAGUGGGAGUCUUGACCACAGAAGCAUAGUCAGGGAGCUGCAAUACUGGCUUCGAAGAUGGAGGAUGGGGUCGUCUAUGCAAGGGAUGCAGUUGUCUGCUGAAAGUUGGAAAAGGUGUAAGAGGAGAGCCUGUGAAGGAGGCAGACAGUCUCCCAUCUUCACUGCACAUCCUCUGUGAGAAGUAUACAGACUGUUCCGAAGAACCAGAGGAGAGACAGACUGCUUCUUGCAACCAUGGCUUGUUGAUGAUAUUCUUUGCUCAGCCCUAUGUGACAGAUUUUACUUUGGUGGCCCUGGAGAACCAUACAGUCUAUUGUACAUGCUCUUCUGUAGUACCCUCCUCUUGAAUCUGGCUGACAUCACUUUCCCCAGAGCAAUGAGACAGAAGUCACAAUGUGAGAGUUUCAACGUCAAGCCUUGAGAAGGUCUGGCAGCUUCCAUAUUUGAACUAUUGGAAUCUGGCCCCCAUGUCAGAGUUCUCGCUACCCUGAGACCAUCUUCUGUUGGAAUCUCAAACAGCCACAUGAAGAGGCUCAAUUAAAUCAAGGCCACUGCAAUGUCAAUUGCCAGCCGUAAGAAUGAGGACACUUUGGACCUUUCAAGCAUCUCAUCUGAUACCACCUAAAACAAAAUAAUUCAGUUUACUCACAUAACCAUGAGGUAUAAUUAAGUGUUGUUUAUUUGAGCCACUGUAUUCCAGAGUGGUUUGUUACAUUGUAAUAGAGAACUGAAAUGGCCAGUUAGUUGAAGGACACUGCUACAGUCACUCUUUUGUUGCUGUUAGAAGCUUUUGGACCUCAGCAUUAGAAUUUAUUUGAGAAGGUAUAAUUUUUGUGUUCUAUCGCUACAAUUAUUAGUCUCUUUCAUUGCUUUAUUUCUCUUUUGGUGGUAUUUUCUUGCCGAUUCUGUCUGCAUGGAAUCUUCCUAUACCUACUGUACCUCUGUUGAGUUUAGCUCUUACAUCAACUUGAGAGAACAGGAAAACUUUGAAGAAAGUAAAGUUGUGUUGUCACUACUGUUUUCCUUGUUUCUUUUAGAUGUUUUUCAAGAGAAAGAUGAAAUAGAUCCCUAAUGGUAAUGUGUCCAAACCUUAAAUGAAAGUCUAUCAACAGUGCUCUUAGCACUGAGGUUCAUUAAGCAUUCUAGAUUUUAUAUUAGAAGACAUUUGUUACUUUUGUUGCCACUUUGUUUUUUUUUUUUUUUUAAUUCCAGUAUAGUUAACACACAGUGUCCUAUUACUUUUCAGGUGUGCAUUACAGUGAUUCAAUAAUUCUAUGUAUUAUUCAGUGCUCACCAUGACGGAUGUACUCUUCAUCCCCUCAACCUAUUUCACCCAUCCCCCCACCAACCCUUCUGUAACCAUCAGUUUAUUCUUUAUAGUUGAGAGUCCGCUUUUUUUGGUUUCUCUCUCUUUUUUUUUUUGUCUUGCCUAUUAAAUUCCACAUAUGAGUGAAAUGAUAUGGUAUUUGUCUUUCUCUGACAUCUUUAACUUAGUGCUAUACCCUCUAGAUACAUCCAUGUUACUGAAAAUGGUAACAUCGAAUUUGCCACCUAUUGGUUGAUGGACACUUGGGCUGCUUCCAUAAUUUGGCUAUUAUAACACUGCAAUAAACAAAAGAGUGUAUAUAUUUUUUCAUAUCA